AUUUAACGCUGGCGGAAUGCUUUACACAUGCAAGUCGAACGGCAGCACGGACUUCGGUCUGGUGGCGAGUGGCGAACGGGUGAGUAAUACAUCGGAACGUGCCCAGUCGUGGGGGAUAACGUAGCGAAAGCUACGCUAAUACCGCAUACGAUCUAAGGAUGAAAGCGGGGGAUCGCAAGACCUCGCGCGACUGGAGCGGCCGAUGGCAGAUUAGGUAGUUGGUGGGGUAAAGGCUCACCAAGCCGACGAUCUGUAGCUGGUCUGAGAGGACGACCAGCCACACUGGGACUGAGACACGGCCCAGACUCCUACGGGAGGCAGCAGUGGGGAAUUUUGGACAAUGGGCGCAAGCCUGAUCCAGCCAUUCCGCGUGCAGGAUGAAGGCCCUCGGGUUGUAAACUGCUUUUGUACGGAACGAAAAGGCUCUGGUUAAUACCCGGGGCUCAUGACGGUACCGUAAGAAUAAGCACCGGCUAACUACGUGCCAGCCGCCGCAGUAA
rnacentral:rRNA from 1 species